GUUAUGUUUGAUGUCCUGGCCACAUGUUUACCUUUUCUUUAACGUAGCUUUUUCACUUUUCACAGUAACGAGACUUUUCCCUGCCUGCCGUGGGUGUGAAUAGUACAGCUAGCGUCCAUGCACACAGGCGCAUGAUUAGUCAGUCACCGGGGGCAGUUAGUAAAAGGAAGCCGGAGAUCAUGCCACACGGCAGAGAUAAACAAGUUUCAAGGCAAGGAAGGCCCAGUGGGAUGUCACUUUUGGAAGCUGCCUUUCCAAGUGGGUUUUAAGAAAUCUCACGGUCCACGUCCACGUCCACCUCAAUCUUCUUCAUGGAAGCAAAUGUCAAUAUCCCGUCCAUUACUGGAGAGGAUGAGGCAUCAAAAUCCUUUAUUACGACCAGGCUAGCUGCAAUUGCAGGCCAGGCCAGGCCAGACAGACACCUCUUUUAAUCCGAGGACCCUUGCGUCUCCCCUCGCAUCAACAAAGAAAGAGGAAGUUGCAACUUGCAAGGACCCAGUGUUUCUAAUGGAGUUAUCUCUUUUCAAUCAAAAACUCAAGUUUUUCUUCAACAGAGUCACUAAGAAUACAUAGCCUUAGCAGAUACUCCACUGUAGGAGGACGGAACUGCAAAUAAUCAUCUGGGUAUUUCAGUACUGUUGUGAUUGCAUUUGCUUAGGGUUCUGGUAUCUGCAUUUCAUUAUCAAAAGAGGAGAAGAUUUACAGACUUCCCGUGUGAUAUUUCAGUGCGCCUACUCCCAAUUAACUUGAAUCUGCUGAGGAAAUACAAGCUUUCUUUAUCGAUCCAAGCAUGGGUAUAAGAUUACGGUACUGAGCACUGGCAAGAUUCACAGAAAUUAAGAUGAACACAAGGAUGAGAGGAAAAAAAGAAAAUAUUCUUAAAAAAAAUUUAUGAGAUUGUAAUUUUGAUUUUCUAUUUUAUCAUCUAUUUUUUAAGUUUAUAAAAUAACUACUCCUUUUUA